rnacentral:rRNA from 1 species
UUGAUCCUGGCUCAGAAUCAACGCUGGCGGCGUGCCUAACACAUGCAAGUCGAACGGGAAAGUGGAGCAAUCCAUGAGUAUAGUGGCGACCGGGUGAGUUACACGUGACUAACCUACCUUCAAGUGGGGGAUAACCUCGGGAAACCGGGUCUAAUACCGCAUAACAUCUCUGUUAUGAGAAAGCAGAGAUCAAAGGAGCUAUUCGCUGGAAGAGGGGGUCGCGGCUGACUAGCUAGUUGGUGGGGUAACUGCCCACCAAGGCUUUGAUCGGUAGCCGGCCUGAGAGGGCGCACGGCCACUCUGGAACUGAAACACGGUCCAGACUCCUACGGGAGGCAGCAGUGGGGAAUUUUGCGCAAUGGGGGAAACCCUGACGCAGCAACGCCGCGUGGAGGAUGAUGUCCCUUGGGACGUAAACUCCUUUCGACCGGGAAGAUUAUGACGGUACCUGUGGAGGAAGCCCCGGCUAACUUCGUGCCAGCAGCCGCGGUAAUAAGGU